rnacentral:rRNA from 1 species
GACGAACGCUGGCGGCGUGCUUAACACAUGCAAGUCGAACGGAAAGGCCCUGCUUUUGUGGGGUGCUCGAGUGGCGAACGGGUGAGUAACACGUGAGUAACCUGCCCUUGACUUUGGGAUAACUUCAGGAAACUGGGGCUAAUACCGGAUAGGAGCUCCUGCUGCAUGGGGGGGGUUGGAAAGUUUCGGCGGUUGGGGAUGGACUCGCGGGUUAUCAGCUUGUUGGUGGGGUAGUGGCUUACCAAGGCUUUGACGGGUAGCCGGCAUGAGAGGGUGACCGGCCACAUUGGGACUGCGAUACGGCCCAGACUCCUACGGGAGGCAGCAGUGGGGAAUAUUGCACAAUGGGCGGAAGCCUGAUGCAGCAACGCCGCGUGCGGGAUGACGGCCUUCGGGUUGUAAACCGCUUUCGCCUGUGACGAAGCGUGAGUGACGGUAAUGGGUAAAGAAGCACCGGCUAACUACGUG